UGCACCUUUAGCUGAGAUGGAUUAGCGCUUGCCUGAAGAGCUUGAGAGGUUCGUUCGAUACGAACAGGGUGCACCAA
rnacentral:tRNA from 1 species